UACAUGUGGGGCAAGCGUUGUUCGGAAUUACUGGGCGUAAAGGGCGCGUAGGCGGCCUCUUAAGUCGAACGUGAAAUCCCCGGGCUCAACCCGGGAACUGCGUCCGAUACUGGGAGGCUUGAAUCCGGGAGAGGGAUGUGGAAUUCCAGGUGUAGCGGUGAAAUGCGUAGAUAUCUGGAGGAACACCGGUGGCGAAGGCGGCAUCCUGGACCGGUAUUGACGCUGAGGCGCGAAAGCCAGGGGAGCAAACGGG
rnacentral:rRNA from 1 species